rnacentral:lncRNA from 1 species
AUGGUAAACUUGCAAAAUAUGGCGACUUAAACGGAAAUAUUUACAUAAAUCUAACAGUUAAACGGAUUAGAAUAUGCUACAUUUUUUUUUGUAGUGUAGUUGAUUGCGGUGAAUCAUAUAUUUGUGUAAUAAGUUUAGAUAAAAUAGUAAAAGGAAAAAAAACGAGUAAAUGAUAAUAUACUGAGUAUUGAUACAAUAGAGAAAAAAAAAUGAAAAUUUAACAGGACGAAAGACUAUGUAUCGAAAGAUUAUUCAAUUUGACUAUUUUUGUAGCAGAAGUAAGAAUAUACGUAAAAGUUACAUACUUAUAAUACAGUUUUUGAAGGACUAAC